rnacentral:rRNA from 1 species
UCUGUGAAGGUGCUGCAUGGUUGUCGUCAGCUCGUGCCGUGAGGUGUCGGCUUAAGUGCCAUAACGAGCGCAACCCUUGUUGUCAGUUACUAACAGGUUCCGCUGAGGACUCUGACAAGACUGCCAUCGUAAGAUGUGAGGAAGGUGGGGAUGACGUCAAAUCAGCACGGCCCUUACGUCCGGGGCUACACACGUGUUACAAUGGGGGGUACAGAGGGCCGCUACCACGCGAGUGGAUGCCAAUCCCCAAAACCUCUCUCAGUUCGGACUGGAGUCUGCAACCCGACUCCACGAAGCUGGAUUCGCUAGUAAUCGCGCAUCAGCCACGGCGCGGUGAAUACGUUCCCGGGCCUUGUACACACCGCCCGUCAAGCCAUGGGAGCCGGGGGUACCUGAAGUGCGUAACCGCGAGGAGCGCCCUAGGGUAAAACUGGUGACUGGGGCUAAGUCGUAACAAGGUAGCCGUACCGGAAGGUGCGGCUGGAUCACCUC